GACGAACGCUGGCGGCGUGCUUAACACAUGCAAGUCGAACGGAAAGGCCCUGCUUUUGUGGGGUGCUCGAGUGGCGAACGGGUGAGUAACACGUGAGUAACCUGCCCUUGACUUUGGGAUAACUUCAGGAAACUGGGGCUAAUACCGGAUAGGAGCUCCUGCUGCAUGGUGGGGGUUGGAAAGUUUCGGCGGUUGGGGAUGGACUCGCGGCUUAUCAGCUUGUUGGUGGGGUAGUGGCUUACCAAGGCUUUGACGGGUAGCCGGCCUGAGAGGGUGACCGGCCACAUUGGGACUGAGAUACGGCCCAGACUCCUUCGGGAGGCAGCAGUGGGGAAUAGUGCACAAUGGGCGGAAUCCUGAUGCAGCAACGCCGCGUGCGGGAUGACGGCCUUCGGGUUGUAACCCGCUUUCGCCUGUGACGAAGCGUGAGUGACGGUAAUGGGUAAAGAAGCACCGGCUAACUACGUG
rnacentral:rRNA from 1 species